AAAACAUCCUGAAUGGGGUUUUAGAGAUCCAAUAAGAAGCUGACUGAGCAAUAUUUAUGUUCAUUGCGUUACUGAUUGCGUCGUACCGUGUUGGUGAAUAAGGAAGAAGAGUAACAAGAUAAUGACGGCGCUUCUCUUUGAGAUGUGCUAAGUUGGUGAGUAAACAGCCGCCCGGGACUAACCCGUUAACCUAGCUUAACUGCAAGUAACUCAUUACGUGUGCAACUCGAGGGCCUGCAGCGUUUAAAAAAAAUGCAAAGUCGAGUGGGUAUUUAGCUGACUGUUAAACAACGUUACACAUUAGUGACUGAACGGAAAAUGGAAGCCUAGCAUAGCACAGCAUGCUAACAUAGCGGGCCACCUUGGUUAGCUCCUAGCUAAAAUGCUAACAGAGUGCCGGAGACACGGAGUUUCUCUCAAGGAAAAAAAACAGACAUGUACAGCACGCAGCAACACAAGUGAAACACAUCGAAAGCAUCGCAUAUAAAGACUAUAAGUCAGUAAAAUUAUUUUCUUCUUUUUUUUCUCCUACUCACCUCCGCCACUGCGAUGUGACCGCCUGGGAACUACUGAGGAGAAUCACGUGGGAAUAUUGGUGCUGAUUGGUUUUUGGAAAACCUGCACCUCGUGGACAGCGGUGAUUGGUCAAGAUGUCAACGGAUGUUUCUGCUGAUUGGUUCUUGCAGCAGGUUGUUGGAUAAAGUCGAUCAUCACGGUGCUGGUGGUGUGGCUGCCAGCGAGGUGUGGAGCAACGAGGCACACCUGAACACAAUUAGCAUUCAUGCGCCUUCUGAAGCUGGAGUCCACAGUACAAUACAAUACUGCUUCUUCAACUUAUUAAUAUUCUACUACAACUUCAGUGUAACUGUUUAAAAAGCAAAUCAUCUGGCUGGGAAUUUGAUCCAGAGGUCCCAAAUGAAAUGAUUAUCUAUUAAACACUAAUGUUCACAAGUCCUGGUAAUGACCCGUCUUUUAAUAAUUGAUAUUUUACUAUCAGGUAUG